UAGAGAGCAAGGGACAUAUAAGAAAUCUCCAGGCAGCUUCACUUAGAUGCAUCAUCUUCUGCUAGGAGUCGGCUUGAAGAAUGACCUUCUUAGGUUAAUUCUUGGGAGACUGCAACUGACAUGCUGGAUGGGGAAUAACCAAAUUUGUGGACAAAGACAAAGAGUUCAUCGCAAGGGGUGGUGUUUAGGAUAUAUACACAAAAGAGGAAACUUUUUUUGUACAAAACCAAAUUAUAUGAUGUAAUAGACCACUAUUUCUAAGAAAUGUUCAUCAUGUGUUGAGUACAUUUUAUUGUGUCACUUUUUUUUGAGGGGUAGCUUUAUUCAUCAAACAUCACAAAGUGUGCGAUAGAGUUCAUCAAACCAGGCUUUAUUGUGUCA